AGGGUUUGAUCAUGGCUCAGAACGUACGCUGGCGGCACGCCUAACACAUGCAAGUCGAACGAAGUAGCAAUACUUAGUGGCAGACGGGUGAGUAACAUGUAGGUAUCUGCCCUUUGGCCUGGAAUAACACGAGGAAACUUGUGCUAAUACCGGAUAAGUCUUUACGGAGAAAGCUUUAUGCACCAUUGGAUGAGCCUGCACUUGAUUAGUUUGUUGGUGGGGUAAUGGCCUACCAAGACUGUGAUCAAUAGCUGAUUUGAGAGGAUGAUCAGCCACAUUGGGACUGAGACACGGCCCAAACUCCUACGGGAGGCAGCAGUGGGGAAUCUUGCACAAUGGAGGAAACUCUGAUGCAGCGAUGCCGCGUGAGUGAAGAAGGCCUUUGGGUUGUAAAGCUCUUUCGUCGGGGAAGAAAAUGACUGUACCCGAAUAAGAAGGUCCGGCUAACUUCGUGCCAGCAGCCGCGGUAAUACGAAGGGACCUAGCGUAGUUCGGAAUUACUGGGCUUAAAGAGUUCGUAGGUGGUUGAAAAAGUUAGUGGUGAAAUCCCAGAGCUUAACUCUGGAACUGCCAUUAAAACUUUUCAGCUAGAGUAUGAUAGAGGAAAGCAGAAUUUCUAGUGUAGAGGUGAAAUUCGUAGAUAUUAGAAAGAAUACCAAUUGCGAAGGCAGCUUUCUGGAUCAUUACUGACACUGAGGAACGAAAGCAUGGGUAGCGAAGAGGAUUAGAUACCCUCGUAGUCCAUGCCGUAAACGAUGUGUGUUAGACGUUGGAAAUUUAUUUUCAGUGUCGCAGCGAAAGCGAUAAACACACCGCCUGGGGAGUACGGUCGCAAGAUUAAAACUCAAAGGAAUUGACGGGGGCCCGCACAAGCGGUGGAUUAUGUGGAUUAAUUCGAUGCAACGCGAAAAACCUUACCUGGCCUUGACAUGUACCGAAUUUAGCAGAGAUGCUUUAGUGCUCGUAAGAGAACGGUAACACAGGUGCUGCAUGGCUGUCGUCAGCUCGUGUCGUGAGAUGUUGGGUUAAGUCCCGCAACGAGCGCAACCCUCACUUUUAGUUGCCAUCAUUAAGUUGGGCACUCUGAAAGAACUGCCAGUGAUAAGCUGGAGGAAGGUGGGGAUGACGUCAAGUCCUCAUGGCCCUUACGUGUUGGGCUACACACGUGCUACAAUGGUAUCUACAACAGGAAGCAAGACUGAGAAGUUAAGCAAAUCCCUAAAAGAUACCUCAGUUCGGAUUGCACUCUGCAACUCGAGUGCAUGAAGCUGGAAUUACUAGUAAUCGUGGAUCAGCGUGCCACGGUGAAUGCGUUCCCGGGUCUUGUACACACCGCCCGUCACACCAUGGGAGUUGGUUCUACCUUAAGGCAAGGUUUCAAACCCUUGACCACGGUAUAGUCAGCGACUGGGGUGAAGUCAUAACAAGGUAGCCGUA
rnacentral:rRNA from 1 species